GCCAGAAGGGCCUUUAGUGGCCAUGGUGCCAUCUGCACUAGUGUUACUGGUGCUAGGUGUGACUGGAGUCACUACUGGAUUCAUUCUAUGGAGAAAGAGAAACCGAUGUACGCAAACAUCAAGUAUAUCAACCUCCUCCUAUACAGUGGCCUCAAGCACCGUACAGGAAGACACAACCACAGAAAAUGCUUUAUAAAACUGCAUACUGAAUGGGAUUCCUGAAAAGCCUACAAUUACA